GGUGAACGCUGGCGGCGUGCCUAAUACAUGCAAGUCGAGCGAACAGACGAGGAGCUUGCUCCUCUGACGUUAGCGGCGGACGGGUGAGUAACACGUGGAUAACCUACCUAUAAGACUGGGAUAACUUCGGGAAACCGGAGCUAAUACCGGAUAAUAUAUUGAACCGCAUGGUUCAAUAGUGAAAGACGGUUUUGCUGUCACUUAUAGAUGGAUCCGCGCCGCAUUAGCUAGUUGGUAAGGUAACGGCUUACCAAGGCAACGAUGCGUAGCCGACCUGAGAGGGUGAUCGGCCACACUGGAACUGAGACACGGUCCAGACUCCUACGGGAGGCAGCAGUAGGGAAUCUUCCGCAAUGGGCGAAAGCCUGACGGAGCAACGCCGCGUGAGUGAUGAAGGUCUUCGGAUCGUAAAACUCUGUUAUUAGGGAAGAACAAAUGUGUAAGUAACUGUGCACGUCUUGACGGUACCUAAUCAGAAAGCCACGGCUAACUACGUG
rnacentral:rRNA from 1 species